rnacentral:rRNA from 1 species
AACGUACGCUGGCGGCACGCCUAACACAUGCAAGUCGAACGCAGUAGCAAUACUGAGUGGCAGACGGGUGAGUAACAUGUGGGAAUCUGCCUUGUGGUUCAGGACAACAUUGGGAAACCGAUGCUAAUACUGGAUAAGCCCUUACGGGGAAAGUUUUAAUGCCAUAAGAUGAGCCCGCAUUUGAUUAGUUAGUUGGUGAGGUAAUGGCUCACCAAGACAAUGAUCAAUAGCUGAUCUGAGGGGAUGAUCAGCCACACUGGGACUGAGACACGGCCCAGACUCCUACGGGAGGCAGCAGUGGGGAAUCUUGCACAAUGGAGGAAACUCUGAUGCAGCGAUGCCGCGUGAGUGAAGAAGGCCUUUGGGUUGUAAAGCCCUUUUGUAGGGGAAGAUAAUGACUGUACCCUAAGAAUAAGGUCCGGCUAACUUCGUGCCAGCCGCCGCGGUAA